rnacentral:lncRNA from 1 species
GAAAACUGAAAUAAAAAUAAUAAAACUUCCUCACUUUAGGUUGUUUUUUUCAGGCAAGUAGAAGAAUACAAUGAAGAUUUUUUUGUUUGCUGGCUGAAAAAUCUUAACUGGACACAAGAAGUGGGGGGAAGAUUUUGCUGCAGAGGGGUGACCCAGAGCAGCUCGACACAGCGAGGACUGCGGGAGGUCUGGUGCUCAUCCCUGCUCCCCACCUGCCUGCUCAGGUAGCUUCCCUGGCAUCAGCACUGAGGAUGGUUUGACCUCACAGUGAUUCAAUUCAGAGAUUUAAAACUGGCAGGAACCUGAAUCCCGCCCCUCUCCUCGGUGGAAUAGUUUCCUGCUAGAUUUGCUUCCUGAAUUCACCCAUUUUCUUGUCAGAUGAACGGCAGUGACCCUGUGUUAGGCUGUAUAAUAGAAGCAGAGGAGCUCACACUUCUUUGCAGAGCUUUAAACACAUGGAGGAACGUGCUCACCGUGAAGGGAGUUGUAGGAUCGAGGUCAGUGGAGGGACUCUGCUCAUCGCUGCUCCAACGCCAGCGGUCUCCUCUGGAAUGCUUCACUUACAGCCUGACCCUUGCUGGGAACAGAGAAAAUCGAGGCUGUGGCCAUUCUUCCCAAUAUCCAGAGAGCAGCUGGUAUGCAAAGGUGUAUCCCCAAGUCGUA